UGUAAGGGCAAUCUGGCUGUGAUAAAUGUAACCUCAUUGAUCACCAGUGUUGAUUUGGCUGAUCUGGCUGCCUAGGCAAGUAUCCUCUUCCUCCCUCAUUGA
rnacentral:snRNA from 1 species